GGGUUUUUUUAAAAAAAACCCCCCCCGGGGGGUUUUUUAAAAAAAACCCCGGGGGGGGGGUUUUUUUUAAAAAAAACCCCCCCCGGGGGGGGUUUUUUUUUAAAAAAAACCCCCCCCCCCCGGGGGGGGGGUUUUUUUUU
rfam:Sarcophilus harrisii ctg7180002330760, whole genome shotgun sequence.